UACAGAGGGGGCAAGCGUUAUUCGGAAUUAUUGGGCGUAAAGGGUGCGUAGGCGGGUCUUUAAGUCAGGGGUGAAAUCCUGGAGCUCAACUCCAGAACUGCCUUUGAUACUGAGGAUCUUGAGUUCGGGAGAGGUGAGUGGAACUGCGAGUGUAGAGGUGAAAUUCGUAGAUAUUCGCAAGAACACCAGUGGCGAAGGCGGCUCACUGGCCCGAUACUGACGCUGAGGCACGAAAGCGUGGGGAGCAAACAGG
rnacentral:rRNA from 1 species